rnacentral:sRNA from 1 species
ACAAGUACAGAGAUAGGGAACAAAGAGGAAGAUACAA